rnacentral:rRNA from 1 species
UGGGGAAUAUUGGACAAUGUGCGCAAGCCUGAUCCAGCCAUGCCGCGUGAGUGAUGAAGGCCCUAGGGUUGUAAAGCUCUUUCACCGGUGAAGAUAAUGACGGUAACCGGAGAAGAAGCCCCGGCUAACUUCGUGCCAGCAGCCGCGGUAAUACGAAGGGGGCUAGCGUUGUUCGGAUUUACUGGGCGUAAAGCGCACGUAGGCGGACUUUUAAGUCAGGGGUGAAAUCCCGGGGCUCAACCCCGGAACUGCCUUUGAUACUGGAAGUCUUGAGUAUGGUAGAGGUGGGUGGAAUUCCGAGUGUAGAGGUGAAAUUCGUAGAUAUUCGGAGGAACACCAGUGGCGAAGGCGGCUCACUGGACCAUUACUGACGCUGAGGUGCGAAAGCGUGGGGAGCAAACAGG